UGGUCCUCCUAGCAGCUGCAUUUACAAGUCUCCAAGGUGAUUCAUAUCAAUGGUCGUUUGCUAAAUUUGAGGUCUACAUAUUUCAGAUAGGGUCUGGCUGACCCUCUCACAAGAAAACAUCCAUAAUUUGGAUUAUAACCUGUCCUCUUUUUGUUGUUUCAUCAGUUCUUCAAACCUCAGCUUUGUAAUCAAUUUAAGCAGUUUUAGUGAGGAUUUGAACCUUAUGCUCAAGGAAAUUGGAAAUUCUAGAUCAAAAUAACCUCCAGUGAGAUAAUACCAUCUCCCUGUGUGCUGUGACCCACUAUGUCAGAGAGCACACUAUGAAGUUUGCCAUGUGGGUUUCAGUGGGAUGUGCAUUUAAGAACGGUACCACCUACUUAACCGUGCAAUCAAGUUGCUGUAUUUAUAUACUUCCCAUUUUUGAUUGGAUCAGUAUUGAUCUUAGUUUGGUCUCCUCUGGCUGUAUGUGAAGAGCAUUUCUGGAAGCAGAGACACCCUUGCACCACACUGCUCUGUGUUGCCUCUUUGCUCUAGCUCCCCUGGCAGCUUGCUCCUGCAGACUUUUUUCUGUUCCCAGACUCCUGGUUCUUGCUUCCACUUCACUAACGAUUGGCUUUCCAGCCUUCUGCUGCUCCUUGGUUUUACUGCCUUUUCUCUCAUGCGCUUUAUAGUCUAAAUUCAGUAACUUCCUCAUGCUUGCUAUUCCCAUAUCAUCAAGAACAUCCUAGAAAAUGCAGCUCUGUCAUUCAGCCAUGUUAUUACAUACACUGCUGGCUACAGCAGAGAAAACCUUUUGCCUCUUGUCUUUCGGCUGCCACAAGCUCCAGCUCCUCAUCACCAGAGGCCACAUUACCUCACGGCUUCGGCAGUCCUCCCUGUGAUCUUUCCACUUCCCUUGGGACUGAUCUCAACACUGGCCAGUGCAAAAGAGGUGCUUGGUACAGUCACCAGAGAGUUAAUGGUGCCCCGGACAUGUGGUCACUGGCACAAGAUCCUGGGAGGAUUCUGUAGAAGGGUGUGUGUAAACGAACUCCAGGCAUCUCUGAAGCCACUUGAAAAGUACUUGUAGUAACAGAGCUGCACGUGUUUCUGCCUUUCCUGGAAAUUAUCAGUCACAAUAAGGUCUGCAGCAAUGAGACACGGAAUGGGAUUUUUCCGGACCUGUUGAAUACAGAGGCCAUUUCCUGACCAUAGUAAUUUAAUGCAUCAUUGUUAUGCUCUCACUUCUAUCACAUCGUUCUUACUCCAAAUUUCUGUCUUGCCUUUAAUGAAUUUCCAUCUGAAAUCCAUCUGAGACUUGUAUAUGUGAUGUGUACUUGCCUGUAUUAGUGAGGAGGCAGCAGACAUCAUUACCUCUGCUCUUCCCCUGGCCAGCCAUGACUUUGCCAUCGGAGAGCUGUCCGCUCCUUUGAGGCCGUGUUGCCAAGUCCAGUGUUGUCAAAUAAACCCUAAUUCUGAU
rnacentral:lncRNA from 1 species